CGUAAAGGUACAUAGUCGUUGAUAUGGCCGAGUUGGUCUAAGGCGCCAGAUUAAGGUUCUGGUCCGAAAGGGCGUGGGUUCAAAUCCCACUGUCAACAUC
rnacentral:tRNA from 1 species